AUCAUUUCUUGACCUAUUAUCUAAGAUCAAGUGUAGUAUUUGUUCUAGUCAAUGUAAUAUCUGAUACAUCCUCUCUCUGAGGACAAUAUAUUCAGUGGAUUUUUGAAUUUUGGACCAGGAAGUAGGAAUAAGAGUUUUCUCUACCCACUUAACACAUCAACCUGGUAUUGCAGUACCUCCAGAAAUGGUGCACAAAAG